CCGCCCACCACGGCUAACGACCCCCUCCUGCCCGGGUUUGUGGUCAGAGUUGUCCUUCUCCUAGGUGAACAUCCUCGCGGCUAACGAUCUCCACCUUCCCGGGUUUGUGAUCAGAGUUGUCCUUCUCCUAGGUGAACUGCUUACGCUAACGAGCUCCACCAGCCCGGGUUUGUAAUCGGAGUUUGCUCUCCUAGAUGAACUGCUUACGCUAACGAGCUCCACCAGCCCGGGUUUGUAAUCGGAGUUUGCUCUCCUAGGUGAACUGCUUACGCUAACGAGCUCCACCUGCCCGGGUUUGUAAUCGGAGUUUGCUCUCCUAGGUGAAUUGCUUACGCUAACGAGCUCCACCUGCCCGGGUUUGUAAUCGGAGUUGUCCCUCUCCUAGGUGAAUUGCCUACCACGGCUAACGACCUCCACCUGCCCGUGUUUAUUGUUCGGAGUUGUCCCUCUCCUAGGUGAACUGCCUACCACGGCUAACGACCUCCACCUGCCCGUGUUUAUUGUUCGGAGUUUGCUCUCCUAGGUGAACUGCCUACCACGGCUAACGAGCUCCACCUGCCCGGGUUUGUAAUCGGAGUUUGCUCUCCUAGGUGAACUGCUCACGCUAACGAGCUCCACCAGCCCGGGUUUGUUGUUCGGAGUUUGCUCUCCUAGGUGAACUGCUUACGCUAACGAGCUCCACCUGCCCGGGUUUAUAUUCGGAGUUUGCUCUCCUAGGUGAACUGCUCACGCUAACGAGCUCCACCUGCCCGGGUUUGUUGUUCGGAGUUUGCUCUCCUAGGUGAACUGCUUACGCUAACGAGCUCCACCUGCCCGGGUUUAUAUUCGGAGUUUGCUCUCCUAGGUGAACUGCUCACGCUAACGAGCUCCACCUGCCCGGGUUUAUAUUCGGAGUUUGCUCUCCUAGGUGAACUGCUUACGCUAACGAGCUCCAUCUGCCCGGGUUUGUUGUUCGGAGUUUGCUCUCCUAGGUGAACUGCUUACGCUAACGAGCUCCAUCUGCCCGGGUUUGUUGUUCGGAGUUUGCUCUCCUAGGUGAAUUGCUUACGCUAACGAGCUCCACCUGCCCGGGUUUGUUGUUCGGAGUUUGCUCUCCUAGGUGAACUGCUUACGCUAACGAGCUCCACCUGCCCGGGUUUGUUGUUCGGAGUUUGCUCUCCUAGGUGAACUGCUCACGCUAACGAGCUCCACCUGCCCGGGUUUGUUGUUCGGAGUUUGCUCUCCUAGGUGAACUGCUUACGCUAACGAGCUCCACCUGCCCGGGUUUGUUGUUCGGAGUUUGCUCUCCUAGGUGAACUGCUCACGCUAACGAGCUCCACCUGCCCGGGUUUGUUGUUCGGAGUUUGCUCUCCUAGGUGAACUGCUCACGCUAACGAGCUCCACCUGCCCGGGUUUGUUGUUCGGAGUUUGCUCUCCUAGGUGAACUGCUCACGCUAAC